AGGAUAAACGCUGGCGGCGUGCAUGAGACAUGCAAGUCGAACGGACACUUGGGGCUUGCUCCAAGUGUUAGUGGCGGACGGCUGAGUAACGCGUAGGUGACCUGCCCCGAAGUGGGGAAUAACUGCCCGAAAGGGUGGCUAAUACCGCAUGUGGUGGUGUGUUCAUUCACACCAGUAAAGCCGCAAGGCGCUUCGGGAGGGGCCUGCGUCCGAUUAGCUCGUUGGUGGGGUAACGGCUCACCAAGGCGACGAUCGGUAGGUGGUCUGAGAGGACGAUCACCCAGACUGGGACUGAGACACGGCCCAGACUCCUACGGGAGGCAGCAGUCGGGAAUUUUGCUCAAUGGGCGCAAGCCUGAAGCAGCAACGCCGCGUGAGGGAUGAAGGCCUUCGGGUUGUAAACCUCUUUUAUCAGGGAAGAUUAUGACGGUACCUGAUGAAUAAGCCACGGCUAACUACGUGCCAGCAGCCGC
rnacentral:rRNA from 1 species